rnacentral:lncRNA from 1 species
AGGCCCUCAACCCGAAGUUUAGAAUCAAGUUUGAGACCAAAAAAGAAGGCCCCCAGAUGAGACAGGAUUGUUCCCUUCACCUUAACCCCCUUCGUGGGCGGGAACUGGAGCAGCUCAUUUCACUCAUCUCGCCUCCUGCCAUCCUGGCGGCAGAGCGUGCGAGUGCGGGAACCGGAGCGAGCGAAUGCUGGAACCGGCCGGUCACUCCUCUCUGGCGGGAAUAGGCUCUGUGCGGGCCUCACAGCAGCGUCCAAGCCCUGGCCUCUCGGCACCGGGGUGCCUGUCCGGCGUCCAGGAAGAAUUAGGUCAUAUGAACGGAUUGAAGAGUAGUGUAUGCGGAGGAUUUGAUUGAGUGGUGGCUCCUGGUGGGAUGGGAACUGGAAAGCAGACGGUGAAAGAGGGUCAUCUUUCCCUGAAGCCGCACCAUCUGAAGUUAGCUGCGUCUAUCUGUAGUCUUCAACACUCUUGCUGCUUCUCUGCUCACCGCUCAGCCGCUUGUGUUGCUCUGCCAGCUGAAGUCUUUUUUAUGGCCACAGGAUAGGGGCGUGGCAGGCCAAAAAAACAACAUUUGGGUAGAAAAACAGGGUCAGCUGUUUUCAAGGCCGUGAUUCCAGGCUUAAGGGUGGGGUUUAGCUGGGAGCCCAGCCAUUCUGUAUCAGUGAUAGUUGCACAACUAUAAAUAUACUAACAACCAUUGAAUUGUGUACUUUAAAUAGAUUAACCAUAUGAUAUAUGAAUUACAUCUCAGUAAAGUUGUUUUUUAAAAAAUAUGCAUAUACCUUAGUCUAGCCGUUCCAGGUCAUAUACUACAGCGAUAGUAACAAAGAUAUAAUAUGUGGUUUAUAAUAAUAAAUAUUGGAAAUACUUAAUCUUGCAAGUGCAUGAUCAGUAAGGUAGUGGAGGCAAAAACUAGGUUUCCCAGGAGCUUCAGGCUUCUCAACUUCCGAGUAGUAAUCUCAAGGAAGUAUGUACUCUGACUAAAACUGUUUAUGUCACAGACCUACUCCUUAGACCAAUCACUGUUCCCAUAGAGAUAGCUCAUUAUGAUUUGUGGAGUCAGAAUCAUGUGCCCACUGCUGAAAUCAGGAAUUCAGGGUCCUAGGAGAGUCACCCGUGCCACCCACCUAAUGUUUUCUGGAAGUUUGACUUUAAAAGGAAGAAGACAGCAAGAGAUCAAUAUAGCUAGAGUGUGGAGAUGAGGUGUUUUCUUUAAAAUAGAGGUGACUUGAACACGUUUAAAUGCUUGUGCAAAGUAGCCAAUAUAGAGGGAGCAGUUAAAGACACAAAAGAAAUAGAACAUUUCUAAUCAAUAGAUCUCAGGAAAUUAUUAUUUCC